UACGUAGGCAGCAAGCGUUGUUCGGAAUUACUGGGCGUAAAGAGUGUGUAGGCGGUGCUCUAAGUCUGAUGUGAAAUCUUGCGGCUCAACCGCAAGCGGUCAUUGGAAACUGGGGGACUUGAGUACAGAAGAGGAAAGCGGAAUUCCACGUGUAGCGGUGAAAUGCGUAGAGAUGUGGAGGAACACCAGUGGCGAAGGCGGCUUUCUGGUCUGUAACUGACGCUGAGGCGCGAAAGCGUGGGGAGCAAACAGG
rnacentral:rRNA from 1 species